GGAGCGCGUCACGUGACCACGUGACUGGCAGGGCCGCUACGGCCGCCGCACGUCCGUCGACCCCGUGACCCGCAGGGGCGGGGCCUGGGCGGGGCCAGCCCUCCUGCACGAUGACACGGGCUGCCCCGUCCCUGACCCCUGCCUAUGGAGAGCCACGGCUGUGCCAGUGCUGCCCGCCAGGAGGAACUCGCCUUGCCCUGGAACUUAACCCACUCCGCCCACAACCCCGGGCUUCCCCACGCUUUAAAACCACAUUUGCCUGGGACCGGUGCUGUAGAGUAGCGGGUAAAUCCGCUGCCGGCAGUGUCGGCAUCCCAUGUGGGCGCCGGUUCAAGUCUCGGCUGCUCCACUUCCAAUCCAGCUCUGCGCUGUGGCCUGGGAAAGCAGUGGAGGAUGGCCCAAGUCCUUGGGCCCCUGCACCCACAUGGGAGACCCAGAGGAAUCUCCUGGCUCCUGGCUUUGGAUCAGCACAGCUCCGGCCAUUGUGGCCAUCUGGGGAGUGAACCAGCGGAUGGAAGACCUCUCUCUCUCUCUCUCUCUCUCUCUCUGCCUCCCGGCUUCUGCUCGCUUCUUCACGUCUUCUCGUGUAAUUGCA